GUUGCCUGUACAACAUACCCGGUUCUCGGGCAAAUGACUUCGUCCAANACGCUCGUCCGCUCCCCUCGCCUUUGUGCGGGCGCGGAGCGGCAACAUCGGCGGUCCUCGUGCUNNNUCGGACGACGGCACGGCUUUGGCCCCACGNNNNNNCCCGAUCGGCCCUCGGGGAUUCGCCAGNGCUCGCGGACACGGUAGACAAUGUUGGCUCGGGGCUUUNGUAGCCCCCGCACCACGAUCGGUCGGCUCACUUCGCCGCCCUCGACGAGACGACCGUCGGGCCCGUCGUCCCCCCACCACUCGCCUAACGGCGUCGGGCGGGCACAGCGGGCGCGAC
rnacentral:misc_RNA from 1 species